GUGAGACACAUGGAAUCAGGCAGACCACUUCCCUCUUCACAGCCAAGAACCUUGACCAAGUUGUCUCCAUCCUCCAGUGGCCUCUUCUUUCCACCCACCUGUGAGGAGCUGUGAACUCCCGCUGUGCCCAGUCUCAGACCACAACCACUCCCACCACAGUCACAGGCAAGCCCAGUGAGCAAUGUUAGCUCAUGCUGUAACACAGCGAAGGUCAGCGCACAAGUCUACAUACACACAUGUCAUCCCUGUGUCUCUGUGGACCCCGCCUCAGAGGGAGUAUGGGCAAACAUUUGUCUUUAAACUCUUUCAGUUUUUCCUCUAAACUUGGGGUGGUGUCCUCCCUUCUGAGUCAACCGCAGAUGGCUGAGUCGUCUGAUUUGCAUCAUAUCAGAUGCAAACUCUGCUCCUCCAUUUUGUACUCAGGAGACCCGGGUAGGGGAGCCUCCCUGGACACACCCUACUGGCAUGACACACCUGCACAGCAGCUCACAUCUGAAGCCAACUCUUCUGGGGUCCUGGUGGUUCCAAAGACUCUUCUAGUCCUCUCCCUCAGAAGCACGUGUGAAGGGACAGCAAGGAUGCUCUCUAGGGUUGCUCACACCCACUAUGGUCCCUAUGUCUUCUUGCACCUGUGUGAUUUCUCUGCAGGGGUGACAGGUUGGAGACUGAUUUCUUCGGUGCAGUGGCCCUCAGGGAUAGCCUGACCCCUUAGUCAUCCCUAUGCCCUGACUCCAUCUCCCCUCCUGCCUGUGGCCUCAUAGGUUACCUCUUACUUUUUAACCUAAAAACAGAAAAGAUUU
rnacentral:lncRNA from 1 species